ensembl:lncRNA
AAUCUCCCUUGCUCAGGUUGGCCUGGGCCUUGCAAUCUCGCGGGGAGGGCCUCUCUGCCGCGGCCUCCCGCUCUCCGCCCGCCCUGGGCCGCCUGGGCCCCUCGGCGCCGUGCUGUCCCAAGUGGGCUGCGAUUCAGCCGGGAAACCCGGCACAGAGCUCCAGAGGCCGGCAUCAUUGGUGGAGAUAACUCCGGUGUUUCGGAGACCUGGGCAUGCCUGCUCGUGCUGAAGAUUGGGCCUGCAGCACUCUGAGACACUCCCUCUCUCCUGGGCAUCAGGCUCCCUGGUUCAGAUCAUCCAUGACCCAUUUCUCUACACUCAAGGAGUUAUCUGGCCACGUUGGCUCCAGCUCUAAUGGAGUGAGUUGAGCAGUGAUGGACCCAGAGAAGAGUGGAGAAAACAGGGCAUGAAGGAGAAAUAUAUUUUCGUGUUUGCUUAUAAGGAACUCUAGAAGGAUCUGUAAGAAACAAAAUACUACCUGUGGAGGCAGAUGGCCC